rnacentral:rRNA from 1 species
ACUGAGCGGCGGACGGGUGAGUAACGCGUGGAUAACCUGCCUCACACAGGGGGAUAACAGUUAGAAAUGACUGCUAAUACCGCAUAAGCGCACAGUACCGCAUGGUACGGUGUGAAAAACUCCGGUGGUGUGAGAUGGAUCCGCGUCUGAUUAGCUAGUUGGUGAGGUAACGGCCCACCAAGGCAACGAUCAGUAGCCGACUUGAGAGAGUGACCGGCCACAUUGGGACUGAGACACGGCCCAGACUCCUACGGGAGGCAGCAGUGGGGGAUAUUGCACAAUGGGGGAAACCCUGAUGCAGCGACGCCGCGUGGAGGAAGAAGGUUUUCGGAUUGUAAACUCCUGUCGUUAGGGACGAUAAUGACGGUACCUAACAAGAAAGCACCGGCUAACUACGUGCCAGCAGCCGCGGUAAAACGUAGGGUGCAAGCGUUGUCCGGAAUUACUGGGUGUAAAGGGAGCGCAGGCGGACCGGCAAGUUGGAAGUGAAAACUAUGGGCUCAACCCAUAAAUUGCUUUCAAAACUGCUGGCCUUGAGUAGUGCAGAGGUAGGUGGAAUUCCCGGUGUAGCGGUGGAAUGCGUAGAUAUCGGGAGGAACACCAGUGGCGAAGGCGACCUACUGGGCACCAACUGACGCUGAGGCUCGAAAGCAUGGGUAGCAAACAGGAUUAGAUACCCUGGUAGUCCAUGCCGUAAACGAUGAUUACUAGGUGUUGGAGGAUUGACCCCUUCAGUGCCGCAGUUAACACAAUAAGUAAUCCACCUGGGGAGUUCGACCGCAAGGUUGAAACUCAAAGGAAUUGACGGGGGCCCGCACAAGCAGUGGAGUAUGUGGUUUAAUUUGAAGCAACGCGAAGAACCUUACCAGGUCUUGACAUCCGAUGCAUAGCGCAGAGAUGCGUGAAGUCCUUCGGGACAUCGAGACAGGUGGUGCAUGGUUGUCGUCAGCUCGUGUCGUGAGAUGUUGGGUUAAGUCCCGCAACGAGCGCAACCCUUAUUGCCAGUUACUACGAAAGAGGACUCUGGCGAGACUGCCGUUGACAAAACGGAGGGAGGUGGGGAUGACGUCAAAUCAUCAUGCCCUUUAUGACCUGGGCUACACACGUACUACAAUGGCGUUUAACAAAGAGAAGCAAGACCGCGAGGUGGAGCAAAACUCAAAAACAACGUCUCAGUUCAGAUUGCAGGCUGCAACUCGCCUGCAUGAAGUCGGAAUUGCUAGUAAUCGCGGAUCAGCAUGCCGCGGUGAAUACGUUCCCGGGCCUUGCACUCACCGCCCGUCA